CCUACGGGCGGCUGCAGUGGGGAAUCUUCCACAAUGGGCGAAAGCCUGAUGGAGCGACGCCGCGUGAGUGAUGAAGGUCUUCGGAUCGUAAAGCUCUGUUACCAGGGACGAAACAAGACGGUACCUGGGGAGGAAGCCACGGCUAACUACGUGCCAGCAGCCGCGGUAAUACGUAGGUGGCGAGCGUUGUCCGGAAUUAUUGGGCGUAAAGGGCGCGUAGGCGGUCGUUUAAGUCAGGUGUGAAAGCCCCCGGCUCAACUGGGGAGUUGCAUCUGAUACUGGGCGACUAGAGUGCAGGAGAGGAAAGUGGAAUUCCGAGUGUAGCGGUGAAAUGCGUAGAUAUUCGGAGGAACACCAGUGGCGAAGGCGGCUUUCUGGACUGCAACUGACGCUGAGGCGCGAAAGCUGGGGGAGCAAACGGGCUUAGAUACCCCUGUAGUC
rnacentral:rRNA from 1 species